ACUCACACCACAUAACCCAUCUCCUCUCUCUCCGCUCCCCUCCGACCUUCACCGCACCACUUUAAUCACUAUUCACCACCACAAACAACAGAAUCAUCAUCCACCACUUUCAUCACCACAACACCACUUUCAUCUUCAUCUUCUACAAUGAUUUAAUUCGUUUCCUCAAAAUCAACGAAACCCAUAAGAACCCUAAAAUACAAUCUCCACUGAUUUAAUUCGUUUCCUCAAAAUCAACGAAACCCACAAGAACCCUAAAAUACAAAUCUUUAUCGUUUAUCACUUCACAAAUUGAAAGUUACUGUAGAAAUCAAAGCUUCAUCCUAAUCCAUAUCUCAAAAUCAAAACCCAUGUGUCAGAAGAAAUCAAGAGGACACUCUGUAACACUAGAUCUAGUUAUUUUACUCCUGAGGCUAGGUGUUUCUUUUUUCUAUUUUUCCUUACAAGAGAACUAAUCCAGGGGUGGAAGAUCUCUUCUCCUAGUUAUUUCUAGAACUUCGCAAAAGAAGGAUUUAACCUCAUCAUAGAAUGGGUAUCCUAAACCAGCAGAAUAGAUAAUCCAAAGUCAUAUUCAAGGCUCAUAAUUGUCAUCAUGUUAUAAUGACACCCUCAGAAAAUCAAGGUUCGUAAAUGCCAACUUCAAGCAUUAACCCUUGUUGAUAUUGGAUUAAGUUAGCUACUGGUUGGAGGCCAUGUGCAUUUUAGGAGGAAAUAAAUGCUUUUUAUUUUUCUCUUUUUGGCAUGAGGCACGGUGGGGGCAUGAGUACAGCUAAAGCCGAUCUAGAGAGUGACAGUACUGUAGUGUGUAGCUUUCUAGACAAGAGGUUUAAAGAAGCAUUUGAAAGAGGCUCAAUGUGCUCAAGCAUUAAAUGCUUGUCUAGAUUGGCGGUACCUUUGCUCCAUUCUGUGUGUCAAGAUACGAGUGAUACAAACACCACUAUUUGUAUCUGGCAUAAACACAUUUCUGCAAGUUUUAUUUGCAACCAAGUUACCGGCAGUCAUUGGCGGUUCUUCUGCUGAUAUUGUACCUAUCUUUUUCAUUAUCGGAGACUCAUCUCUACAACGAAUCACUGAACUUGAUGAAAGAUUUUUACACAGUAAGAUGGAAACUCAAGGAGUCCUGAUUGUAGCUGCAAGCUUGAAGAUCAUACUGGGAUUUAGUCAAGUAUGGGGGCUUUUUUCGCUGUAGACAUUCAAUUCGUAUCAAAGAUUGUGCUGGCAUAUAAUCUAAUUGUAUGUUACUUAGUUCUCCAUGAUUGAAUCACAAGUUAUUGUUAGAAUUUACUAGCUAUAUUGGGCAUGUAUUCUCUGAACUCAGUAUUUCAUCCUUUUUGUGUAAUUUUACACUUAAUGGAUAAAAUGAAUGAAUGUUAAAAUUCUCACUUUGAUUAUAAA